rnacentral:rRNA from 1 species
CGGCGAACGGGUGAGUAACGCGUGGAUUAUCUGCCCUGAGGUGGGGGAUAACCCGGGGAAACUCGGGCUAAUACCGCAUAUGACCGUGAGGUCAAAGGGGGGUCGCAAGAUCUCUCGCCAUAGGAGGAGUCCGCGUUCGAUUAGCUAGUUGGUAGGGUAAUGGCCUACCAAGGCGACGAUCGAUAGCCGGCCUGAGAGGGUGAUCGGCCACACUGGAACUGAGACACGGUCCAG